rnacentral:rRNA from 1 species
AUUGAACGCUGGCGGCAGGCCUAACACAUGCCAGUCGAACGGUAACAGGAAGCAGCUUGCUGCUUUGCUGACGAGUGGCGGACGGGUGAGUAAUGUCUGGGAAACUGCCUGAUGGAGGGGGAUAACUACUGGAAACGGUAGCUAAUACCGCAUAACGUCGCAAGACCAAAGAGGGGGACCUUAGGGCCUCUUGCCAUCGGAUGUGCCCAGAUGGGAUUAGCUAGUAGGUGGGGUAACGGCUCACCUAGGCGACGAUCCCUAGCUGGUCUGAGAGGAUGACCAGCCACACUGGAACUGGGAAACGGUCCAGACUCCUACGGGAGGCAGCAGUGGGGAAUAUUGGACAAUGGGCGCAAGCCUGAUGCAGCCAUGCCGCGUGUAUGAAGAAGGCCUUCGGGUUGUAAAGUACUUUCAGCGGGGAGGAAGGGAGUAAAGUUAAUACCGUUGCUCAUUGACGUUACCCGCAGAAGAAGCACCGGCUAACUCCGUG